UGGGGGAUAUUGCACAAUGGGCGAAAGCCUGAUGCAGCGACGCCGCGUGGGGGAUGAAGGCUUUCGGGUUGUAAACCUCUUUCGCUAUCGAACAAGGCCCGCUUAGGGUGGGUUGAGGGUAGGUGGAGAAGAAGCGCCGGCUAACUACGUGCCAGCAGCCGCGGUAAUACGUAGGGCGCGAGCGUUGUCCGGAAUUAUUGGGCGUAAAGGGCUUGUAGGCGGCUUGUUGCGCCUGCUGUGAAAACGCGGGGCUUAACUUCGCGCGUGCAGUGGGUACGGGCAGGCUUGUGUGUGGUGGGGGUGACUGGAAUUCCAGGUGUAGCGGUGGAAUGCGCAGAUAUCUGGAGGAACACCGAUGGCGAAGGCAGGUCACUGGGCCAUUACUGACGCUGAGGAGCGAAAGCAUGGGUAGCGAACAGG
rnacentral:rRNA from 1 species